AACAAAAAAACUACGAUGCGACAAAAAAAACUCCUCCGGCAGUUUCUGUGGACGUCGAUGUUUCUGACCAAGCGCUCCCGCCCAUCCUGUAGCCAGCACAGUUUGUGGCUACCCACAAUGGAGCUACGUACUCCUUAUUUUGGCCCGGUCGCCACAAGAGUCCACACUGAUAUCUAUGCUUCCAUGUACAUGCGAGUGAUUUGUAUAAAAUUCCACUAUUCACACUGAAUACGCUCUUAAAGGAACAACACUUUCUCAUCGGCACUACAAUUGAUGACGGCCAGCCUAACACCUCUACUCUGCUUCAGCCUCCUCUGAAAGUGGGUCACGAUGGGGCAAGAACUCAGCUGCUGAGGCGGCGCAGCGUGGGCGCCGCUUGCACAACGGGACUCGUUUUGGAAAGGACUCACUCAGUCGUUAUUCCUCUUCAUAACGCCUCCAACGCCGACGGUGCUGUCAAAUCUGCCGGUCGGUGGGGUUGCGCUGUAUAGGCCGCUUACGGGCUACCGCUGACGAUGAUGAUCGACGGGAUACUGCUGGAGACGAUGCGAUGAUGCGGACGGUCAAUGCAGCCUCAACGUGCGUUGAAAUAGUGGUCGGCGAGACGAUGUGGCAUGUGAUUGGGGCCACUAAAUCCGUGGACAGUUUAUACGGCCAGAGUUAAUCAAGAGACCCAGCGGCCAUUCGUCUACUGCUGGGUCUACAACCUCUGUAGACGUAUAUAAUGCAUCAGUAAAUGUUCAUUCUUUCCACAACUACACGCCUUGCUCUCUUACCAAUUUGCAGGUUAAACAGAACCAAAAAAACGACAGCAGAAUCCCACUGCACAACCGCACUCUUCCAAUAUCCUCAGCAAAAUGUCGAUUCCCGCGUCGGCUCCAUUCCCUGUACCGCGUGAUAAUUCCCAAUCCUUUUUACGUCCGUUUCUUUCCAUUUUUUGCAGCCUUCUCAUACUUCUACGCCAAACAAC